rnacentral:lncRNA from 1 species
GUGGAAUUGUGAAAUAAAAUGGGGAACAUAUCAUAUCUGUACUAAAGCAUUGAUCACAGGGGACUUUCAAUACUGUAGCAGUGUUAUCAACCUAGUGUUUUAAAAUUAAAAUAACAAUUUGUGAAUAAAAAUAAUUAAGAGAGUCUGUAUAGUUACAUCUGGAACGCACUUAACAUAUCAUGUAAAAAAUAUGGAUGCUUAAUUGUAAUAAGCUGUGUGACAAAAGUGGCAUACAUUAAUAACUAAUUUUCCCGAAGGACUAUCUCAUAUAUUUUUUUUAUCUAAA